rnacentral:rRNA from 1 species
AUUGAACGCUGGCGGCAUGCUUUACACAUGCAAGUCGAACGGUAACAGGUUAAGCUGACGAGUGGCGAACGGGUGAGUAAUGCAUCGGAACGUGCCCGGUCGUGGGGGAUAACGCAGCGAAAGCUGCGCUAAUACCGCAUACGAUCUGAGGAUGAAAGCGGGGGACCGUAAGGCCUCGCGCGAUCGGAGCGGCCGAUGUCAGAUUAGGUAGUUGGUGGGGUAAAGGCUCACCAAGCCGACGAUCUGUAGCUGGUCUGAGAGGACGACCAGCCACACUGGGGCUGAGACACGGCCCAGACUCCUACGGGAGGCAGCAGUGGGGAAUUUUGGACAAUGGGGGCAAGCCUGAUCCAGCAAUGCCGCGUGCAGGAAGAAGGCCUUCGGGUUGUAAACUGCUUUUGUACGGAGCGAAAAGGCUCUCUCUAAUACGGAGGGCUCAUGACGGUACCGUAAGAAUAAGUCCCGGCUAACUUCGUGCCAGCAGCCGCGGUAAUAC